rnacentral:rRNA from 1 species
UGACCGCUGGCGGCGUGCCUACUACAUGCACGUCGAGCGAACAGACGAGGAGCUUGCUCCUCUGACGUUAGCGGCGGACGGGUGAGUAACACGUGGAUAACCUACCUAUAAGACUGGGAUAACUUCGGGAAACCGGAGCUAAUACCGGAUAAUAUAUUGAACCGCAUGGUUCAAUAGUGAAAGACGGUUUUGCUGUCACUUAUAGAUGGAUCCGCGCCGCAUUAGCUAGUUGGUAAGGUAACGGCUUACCAAGGCGACGAUGCGUAGCCGACCUGAGAGGGUGAUCGGCCACACUGGAACUGAGACACGGUCCAGACUCCUACGGGAGGCAGCAGUAGGGAAUCUUCCGCAAUGGGCGAAAGCUUGACGGAGCAACGCCGCGUGAGUGAUGAAGGUCUUCGGAUCGUAAAACUCUGUUAUUAGGGAAGAACAAAUGUGUAAGUAACUAUGCACGUCUUGACGGUACCUAAUCAGAAAGCCACGGCUAACUACGUG